CAAAACUUGGCAAACAAUGCAAAAGCCUGCCUUCCAGUUGUAACAACAUUACCACACCACACACCCACACCGGACCCACAAAACUCACAACAACGCAUCAUGACUAUAACAAGACAACUAAAUGCCCCCAGAAAUACAAAAUUUGACAACACAACUCACCCACCUCCCCAAUCACUACAUUCACACUUGGCCUCCAAAAAAACAAUUACAAUAAUAACAAUGACAACCACAAAAGCAACGAGAAUCAACACCAUCACAGGCAAGAAACAGCCAGGCACUGAGGCUGAGAGGCCAGUCAGUGCUACACUGGGCCUCCAAAAAACAAUACAGUAGCAUCUAACUUAUCCAACCUUCAUGACCACAACAAAAACAAUAAUAAUAAACACCUACACAGGCAAAACAAAAAAAGGACUAUUGUACCACAAUAAAAAUAUAAACCACACUCAGCAGAAACAGACAUUACAACUAACAACAAACCAAAGAGAACAGGGAUCUCAACCAAUUAUCAAUCAACACAAAAAUUGAAGAAGGUAACAGACUUCAAAUACUACUACUAAUGUGAGUAUAAAGAAGGGUGGAGGUCACAGCAUAAAUACAACCUAAUGUAGACUGACCAACACCACCAGACUGAGCCACAGCAACGCGUGGCCGGGCACAGCUAGUCUAUAUAUAUAAAAGGGUAAUGAAAUUUCAGCCUAGGACAAAACAACAAAACUACACAUCUCAGAAACACUAAACUUGGCAGCACAACCCCUCAUCCAUGCCUCUACGUUCAUACAACAAAAAGAAAAGAAAAAUAAAGUCCUAAUUAGAGGGAGAGAAAUAAUUGUUUUUAGCCAAUUGCUGCCAGUUAGAAGGCUAAGCUCCGCCCACUUGGUCUCCUAGCAACCCACUCAGCCCAGGGGACAGGCAGAGUUAGGCCUCACUUAGGCCUCUUCCACACUGCCUAUAAAAUACAGAUUAUCUGAUUUUAACUGGAUUAUAUGGCAGUGCAGACUCAAGGCCCUUCCACACAGCUAUAUAACCCAUUUAUAAUCUUAUAUUAUCUGCUUUGAACUGGAUUAUAUUGACUCCACACUGCCAUAUAAUCCACUUCAGUAUGCAUUUUAUACAGCUGUGUAGAAGGGGCCUCAUAUGAUCCAGUUCUAAGCAGAUAAUGUAAGAUACUUUAUUUCCCAUACCACCAUACUUCGCCACAGCAACGUGUGGCCAGGCACAGCUAGUUACACAUAUAGGCAAACAUUCAAUGCCUUUUAACAUAGAACAAACAUAGGCUCCAAGCGGGCCUCGAACUCAUGAGUGAUUCAUUGCAGUGAUUCAUUGCAGCUGUUCUCCAGCCUGCGCCACAGCCUGAGCCCAUAUGGAUAAUAAGGAGGGAUUAAGGAAAAGCCUAUUAAACAUCAAAUUAGGUUGUGAUUUUACAAAUUAAGCACCAAAACAUCAUGUUAUACAACAAAUUUGACAGAAAAAGUAGUUCACUAUGCAGUAAUGCUACGUAGUAAUUAAUGUAUUUACGAAUUUAUCACCAAAAUAUCACGAUGUAUUGAAAACAUUGCGAUGUAUUGAAAAAUGUGUUGGAUAAUCCAGAACAUUGGAUAAGCGAGUGUUGGAUAAGUGAGACUCUACUGUACUUGUGAUGUGGCUCAGGCAAUUCCUAGCUGUUGUCUGGAUGGGAAUUUCACAUCGAGGCCGCGGUGCCAUGGCACCCAUAUGUCACAGCAGCAUCUAGGUGAAUAUAGACAUUGCCAAAUGGCUCAAUUUUAUUUCUUACACAUAUCACUCCAAACUGUGCUCCUCAAGAACUAAAAUAUGGUCUGUGGCCUCACCGUUACUAGACCGUUGCAACGAUAGUGACUAGUCUGGCAAGACCCUCUUAUAGUGCCGAGAAAAUGGGGAUGUCAGGAGGGGAGAGGCUGACUAGACACGAAAGAUGCGUCAACAAGCCUCCUGACUGCUGCUUCUCUUCCUCCCUUUCUCUGAGCGGAGCCGUUCCAAGUGGCACCUGGAAGCUUGGGCACGAUAUUUUCAUUUUAAGGCUGUUCUGAGGGUGAUUUAGGGUGCUGAUUCAGAAAAUUGCAUUGGAUAGACCACAUCAGCUCUAGAUUAUUAAAUGUGGUUUUCUGUGGGUGAGCAGAUAGUGACUAUUGGAUGGAGUAUGUUUUGUACUAGAGACCAAAGUUGAUGGGAUCUAUCCAAUUCAGUUUUCUGAAUCAACACUCCAAAUAACCAAACUGAAUCAAAAGUUGACCAAAAACUGAUUUGUAACCCUUUUAUUUAUUUAUUUUAUUUAUUUACAGCAUUUAUAUUCCGCCCUUCUCACCCCGACGGGGACUCAGGGCGGAUCACAUUACACAUAUAGGCAAACAUUCAAUGCCUUUUUAACAUAGGACAAAGACAAACAACAUAGCUCCGAGCGGGCCUCAAACUCAUGACCUCCUGGUCAGAGUGAUUGAUUGCAGUUAAUUGCAGCUGGUUUGCUCUCCCGUCUGCACCACAGCCCCGGGCCUUUUGGCACUAAUGUUGGAGAGUGGUCCCUGGUCCAAGUAGUCCCUGGUCAAAAAAAAGGUUGGGAACCACUGCUUUAGACUUUCUGUUGCUAAAUCUUAUUAAAACUAGAGCUUCAAGUACAUGUGUGUGUGUCUCUUUGCUAGUAUCGCCUCCAAAGGAUCUGAAAGUUGUAGACGUGACAGAUAAGACAGUCAACUUGGAAUGGAAGAAUGAGAACGUUGUCACCGAGUACCUCAUAACUUACAUCCCUA
ensembl:lncRNA